CCAGGCUUGAACUGCAGGUGACAUCCUACGAAAGUAGGCUUCCGCAAAGUCCCGCAACGAGCGCAACCCUUGUCUUCUGUUGCCAUCGGGUUAUGCCGGGCACUCUGAAGAGACUGCCGGUGACAAACCGGAGGAAGGUGGGGAUGACGUCAAGUCAGCAUGGCCUUUAUGUCUGGGGCCACACACGUGCUACAAUGGCCGGUACAAACCGUCGCGAUCUCGCGAGAGGGAGCUAAUCGGAGAAAGCCGGUCUCAGUUCGGAUUGUAGGCUGCAACUCGCCUGCAUGAAGUUGGAAUCGCUAGUAAUCGCGGAUCAGCACGCCGCGGUGAAUACGUUCCCGGGCCUUGUACACACCGCCCGUCACAUCACGAAAGCCGGCUGUACUAGAAGUCGCUGCGCUAACCCGCAAGGGGGGCAAGCGCCUAAGGUAUGGUCGGUGAUUGGGGUG
rnacentral:rRNA from 1 species